GGGACGCGCGGCCGCAGCGCACUGGACCAGCGGCAGAGACCCAGGACGUGGAGCGCUGACUGCGGCGGCCACGGCGGCCGGGAGCCGCUGGGAGCUGGGGCGCAGCGUGCGGUCUGUGAUGAGGGGCUGCGGCGGCGCGCCGGGUGCAGGGCCGGCUGUGUGGCCUCUUCCUGUCUGAUACUGGAAGAGGCAACCUGAUGGUCCUCUGACAACUAUUCACCUCAACACUAAGGAAGCAGAUGGCAAUGUCACAGACACAGGAUUAUGAAUGCAGAACCUACCAUGUCGAUGAGCAGGAGCCCAGGAUUCCAGGAUCAAGCACCAGGUUGGAGUGGGUGGAGAUCAUCGAACCGCGCACUCGAGAACGAAUGUAUGCCAACCUGGUCACCGGGGAGUGCGUAUGGGACCCGCCAGCCGGCGUGCGAAUCAAGCGCACUAGCGAGGACCAGUGGUGGGAGCUCUUUGACCCCAAUACGUCGCGCUUCUACUACUACAGUGCUGCCUCACAGCGCACGGUGUGGCAUCGCCCACAGAACUGCGACAUCAUCCCUCUGGCUAAACUGCAGACUCUGAAGCAGAACACCGAGUCUCCGCGUGCCUCUGCAGACAGCAGCCCAGGAAGGGGUAGCCGCGAUGGUAGCACCGGCUCGUCACUGGAGCCAGAGCCUGAGGAAAGGGCACAGGAACUGCCAGUUCGCAGUGGGCGGGCGACAACCUUGGUCUCUUCGAAGGAGGAGAGUAGCAGUUGUUCACCACCAGGUGUGCUCCUGGAGAAGGACUAUGAGGUUUACCGGGAUUACAGUGCUGACGGCCAGCUCCUUCACUACAGGACCUCCUCACUGCGGUGGAACUCUGGUAACAAGGAACGCAUGCUCAUCAAGGUUGCUGACCGCGAACCCAGCUUCCUCACUCCCCAGGGCAAUGGCUAUCCCUCAGACAGCCAGGCGGGAGGGCAUCACCGCAGACCCUCUGGCAGCCAGCACUCGCCUAGCCUGCAGACCUUUGUCCCUGACACUGAUGGCACUGUCUUCUUUCCGGAGAGGCGGCCCUCACCCUUCCUCAGGAGGGCUGAGCUCUCUGGAAACUGUUCUCCACUGUUGAUGCAGCCCCGAAAACCCUCCAGUGACUCACAACCCUCCUCCCCACGCUAUGGAUAUGAGCCCCCACUCUAUGAGGAGCCUCCAGUGGAAUACCAAGCCCCCAUUUAUGAUGAGCCCCCCAUGGAUGUGCAGUUUGAGGCCAACAGCCCUUACCAGACUGGCUCACCACAGAGGUCACCAGGCCGAAAACCCCACCCAUUCCUGCAAACUACUAAGCAGACCCCGACGUCACCCUGCCAACAGCUGAUGCGCACCAAGCAGAAGUGCCCAGAACGCUUUCUGAGCCUGGAAUAUAGCCCUGUGGGCAAGGAGUAUGUGCGGCAGCUAGUGUAUGUGGAGCAGGCAGGUUCCAGCCCCAAGCUUAGAGGUGGGCCCAGGCACAAGUAUGCACCCAACCCAGGUGGUGGCACGUACUCCCUGCAGCCCAGCCCCUGCUUGCUGAGAGACCAACGCCUGGGGGUCAGGUCUGGAGACUAUAGCACCAUGGAAGGGCCCGAGUCACGCCCAAGCCAACCACCUACACCACUGCCCCAAGCCCAGGAGGAUGCCAUGUCCUGGUCCAGUCAGCAAGACACCAUGUCUUCCACAGGUUACUCCCCAGGCACUCGUAAGAGGAAGAACAGAAAGCCCUCUCUGUGCCAAGUCCCUAGCACCUCAUCCACUGAUGGUCCUGGAGACCUUCUAGAAGAGCAGCCUCUGACUGAAGAGCAUUCUCCGUGCAGGUCUAGCCUUACACCAAUAAAGGCUGAGGCAGACCUAGUACGAGGCACACCUGAGCCCUUCCUGGCACAGGCCCGACUGGCCUGGGAGGCACAACAAGCCCACUUCCACAUGAAGCAGAGGGGCAGCUGGGACUCCCAGCAGGAUGGCUCGGGGUAUGAAAGUGAUGGCGCUGUCCCACUGCCCAUGCCUGGGCCUGUGGUACGAGCAUUCAGUGAGGAUGAGGCAUUGGCCCAACAGGACAACAAGCAUUGGAAGCGGAGCACCUUUGAAAAGCUUGGCUUCCCCCAGAUCCUUCUGGAGAAGAGCAUCUCUGUGCAGACCAACCUGGCCUCGCCGGAGCCUUACCUCCACCCCUCACAGUCUGAGGACCUUGGUGCCUGCGCACAGUUUGAGAGCAGCCGGCAGAACCGCAAUGCAGUACCCAGCUCCAGCUGUGUCUUCCCCACCUUCACACUGCGUAAGCCCUCCUCAGAGACAGACAUCGAGAACUGGGCCUCCAAGCACUUCAACAAGCACACCCAGGGUCUCUUCCGGCGAAAGGUGUCCAUAGCCAACAUGUUGGCCUGGAGCAGCGAAUCCAUCAAGAAGCCCAUGAUUGUGACCAGUGACAGGCAUGUGAAGAAAGAGGCUUGUGAAAUCUUCAAGUUAAUCCAAAUGUACAUGGGUGACAGGCGAGCCAAGGCAGAUCCACUGCAUGUAGCCCUGGAGAUUGCCACCAAAGGCUGGAGUGCACAGGGCCUCCGGGACGAGCUGUACAUCCAGCUGUGCCGGCAGACCACAGAGAACUUCCGCCUGGAGAGCCUGGCCCGUGGCUGGGAGCUCAUGGCCAUCUGCUUGGCCUUCUUCCCACCUACACCCAAGUUCCACUCCUACCUGGAGGGCUAUAUCUACCGGCAUAUGGACCCCGUUAAUGACACCAAAGUGACCCAGCACAUAAAAGAGCUUCUGGAAAGGAACAGUAAGAAGAAAUCCAAACUGAGAAAGAAAGCCAAGCCUUAUGUUGAAGAGCCAGAUGGUAGGGCCUCUGCAGCCUGGGCGCUGCCUCUGCACCGCUCUGCUCUCCACCAUGGCCGCCUGGCCCUCUCUCUAACCGCUUCUGGGCUGGGGGAGGGACACUAACCUCAGGCUUGGGGCCUCCCAAGCAAGCAAAAACUGGAGGUCUAGGGUGCCAAAAUGACCCUAGAGAAAUGGUGCAUGCCCUGCACCUCUUCUGGCAGUACCCAGGACAGUCCACAACUUGCUUCUUGGUGAACUAACCUGUGAAGGCUUGGAGUCAGCCCCCAGGUGAGUGAGUGGGCCUGAUGCUGGGGUGAGGCUCACAGGUGGAGCUGGUUGUCUUGGGGCAGGGGAGCCCACUCUCGUAUGGUUAGGGGAUCUUCCCUCUCCCACGGUGGCCCCAGCAAAGCCUUCUGCAGUCCAGGGUUCCUCUGCCUUCUUCCACCAGCAGCCUUCUAUCUCUUCCCUGAGCCCUGUCUCAGGACUGUCUGCUCCGCUGAACUCCAGGCAAGGCUGUGACCUCGCUAUCUAGAGCUCUCGGUUCAGCACUGCCGCUCCUUCACAAGGCCUCAGCUCUGGCCUUCCUGCACCAGCUUUGUAUAGAGCUGCUUCCAUCAGGCCGUGGUUCACAGUAUUUGAAUCCCCUGUCUCCUGCUCUUUGCUCUGCCUGUUGUGUGCCACCCACUGGAACCCAGGGACAAGGCUGGGGAGCUUUCUGUAGAUGAGGUCUGUUUCAAACAAACUGGGCCAGCAGGAAGCUGAAAAGAAUGGUGACCCUUGUAGGCUAGGCCAGGAUGACAUCUGUAGGACUGGAAAUUUGUCCUUGCUCAGGGCCUCCCAGGCUGCCUAGCUCAGACUGCUCAUGGGGACAGUACUAGAAAGAGACCCUGCUUGCCUGACCACCGGGGGCAUGGAGCUGCAUGUAUUCCAACCGUCUGUGAGUUGUGGCCACAAGGUAGGGGUCGAGUAUCUAUGGAACUUGAAGCAGAACUGGGCAGAGCCCUGGAGCUCAGACUGUCAGGUGGAGAAUCCGGGAGCAUUCAUUCUCAGGACCAUGAAGAGUAAGCAGCAGCAGACACAACAAACCUUGGGUACACCCAGCUGUUUUUGAGGCUUACAGCUUACCCAGAUUCCUGCUACAAUAGUAAAAACCCUGGAAUGCCACUCAUCUAGGGCUAUGGUAAGCCAUCCAUCACACAAAAUUGUUACCUGCAUCCUUGUGGAGGUUCUGGCCAAGGUUCAACAAGGCUAGAUUGACCUCCUCUUACAAGUAAAGGUCUCUGUGGGGUGGCAAUGACACUGUCUGAUCCGCUCUAGACACUUAGCCAGAGCUGAAAUCACUACAGCUUCCUAGACUCCAGGCCACAUGUGGCCCCAGCCUCAGGCCUAGGCUAGCAGCUACCGCCACAGCAGCAACAGCUGUCUGCUUAUCGCUGGCUACUAGGCUUCCAGCACAGCCAUUCUCAGGCCUCCGCGAGACAGGCAUCAUCUCCGUCUCUGUCCUAUAGAAAAACUGAAGCACAGUUUUUCAUACCUACUACCAGCUGAAAGGUGAUUGAAGUAGGGUUUGCUCUGGUCCUGAGUGAGCAUCAGAUGAGGCAGCACUGGGUGGGCAGAACAGGAGGCAACAGGCUUAAGUCCCUUCCAUUACUCUCAGACCCCAUCUGCUUAGCUGAGCCAGGGCAGUGAGAAGCACUUAAGCGCUCUCCAUCCUUAUAAAACAAGGCAGCUUCAUAGCAAUCAUAAAGGGCAGGAUGGCUGAGGGAGAAGCUCUAGUGCUCUCUAGGUGGCUGAGGACAAAAACCAAGGUGAUCUGCCAGAGUCUGGAUCACUUGGGACCUGGGGCAGAUUGUCCAAAACUUAAAUGUCUGAGAGAUUUAUAAUUAUUUUGGUUAGAAAAGAACCAUUUUACAUAUGUGUAUAAAACUUUUGUGAUAAAGGUUCUCAUGGGCCAUAAUAUACUUGUGGAAUAAGUAUACUUAUAUAAUUAUAUAUAAUAACUAUAUGUAUGUAUCUCAUAUAUGCGUGUGUUCCAUAUCUCUCUCUCUCACACACACACACACACACACACACAUAUGUAUAUAAAGUUGGGGAUCUAAGGACCUCUCCAAGACCUCAGAUGUCCAUAAGAAACUGUCUCCUUUCAAAGGCAAAGGUACUCCCAAUCACAGACUUCACAGCUGCGGGUAGUAGAGGCAGAACCUUCCGGGGAAGGGGUAUCCAUUUUCCAGAAGCACUCAGCUGGUGUCUGUCCAUGACACUUCUUGGCAUGUUCUGUCAUCUGCCUCUAUCCUUAUUUGCUGGCUGGGACAGGUUGGAGACACUUGACAUCUACCAACACUCCAGUGUCAUUAGCUCUGCUGCAAGGCAUGAGUUCCAGAAAGCUCCCUACCUUGAGAGAGGAGUCCAGGCCUUCAGCCCUGUCGUUGUCUUACCCGCUGGUUAGAUAGAGCACUGACAUCUUCUGCAAGCUUUCGCUAAGAGCCAAGCUUUGGCCUCUCUCUCUCUCUCUCUCUCUCUCUCUCUCUCUCUCUCUCUCUCUCUCUCUCUCUCUCUCUCUCUCUCUCUCUCCCUCCCUGACACUCUGCUCCCAACUUCACUCCCUCCCUAAGGACACCAGAGCUACUGGAGAACUGCCUUUGCCCCAGUGCUGACCAAAGGCACCAAAUGCUUCAUCCAGAAGCCUCUUCCCCUGGGACCAGGGAAAACCAAAGGUCUUGCUAGGGUCACCUAAGGAGGAAAGGAAGUGGGGUUUGAAAGCCUGGGACCCAGGGUGUGCUCUGGUUUGUUCCCCUGUUCUUCCUGGGUGGAUCUAGGAAGGCUGGCAGAGGGAUUUCCCCUACCCUAACUUCUAGAGAUGGGGGUGUCUCUUGCCUCUCCUCUUGGGUCUCUGCCCUCAAGGACUGCCUCUGAGAGAAUAUGGGCCACUGUGCAGCUCAGGGGUGGGUGAGAAGUUGGCCACAUCCCUGAACCCUUACAAUUGCUUUUCUGAGUCCCUGUGUCCCACGUGUCUACCCCAGGCUGACUGCCACCCUUUCUCUUCCAGGGGUGGCAAUAAGCACCUAUGCGAAGUACUGUUACCACAAACUUCAGAAGGCAGCCCUGACUGGGGCCAAGAAGGGCCUGAAGAAGCCCAAUGUGGAGGAAAUCCGACAUGCCAAGAACGCAGUGUUCAGCCCAUCCAUGUUUGGCAG